AUGUCGGGAAGAUCAAACACACGAGACGGCCGACAAAUUGAAGGUAUGGCAACAACUCCAGCAACUUGCAUCCAAUAUACGCCGGCGACACCCAAACAAUCACAGGCACAAAGAAACGUCCAACGAACUGAAGACACAACAUCAGCACCAUCAGCCUCAGAUAUGAGAGUCCAACAUACGUUAGACCCAGCAGCUCACCAGACAAAAAGAAAGAAAGAACAACCUCUAAACUCAAGGAGUACAAAGCGGACAAGGACUGCAGAGGGAAGAAGAAAAGCGAACACAGAGGCUCCUAAACGAUUGAGAAAGGCUAAUGCUGAAGAAGAUAGGGAAUUGAAGUGCGCCAGAAGCGAAACCAACAAAAACAACACUAGAGUCAAUGUUGGAGACAACAACAGAACCAGAACCUCAACAAGUGCUAAUAGCAAGCCAUGGAACUUCGGAAGGCCAACAUACAAAUGCCAAUAUUGCAAAGCAUUGCUAUGGUGUGAAGAAAGAUUAAAUUCAAACAAAGGAACUACGACACCCUCUUUUGGAAUAUGCUGCAAACAAGGGAAAAUCGAUCUGCCGCCACUAAGAGAACCUCCACCAUACCUUAGAAACCUCUUAAGAAGUGAAGGGAAGGAUUCGGUAAACUUCAAAGAAAAUAUAAGGUCAUACAACUCAAUGUUUUCAUUCACAUCGAUGGGAGGAGCUGUGGACAAGGAAAUAAACACUCGCAAAGGACCUUAUGUUUUUCGUUUGCAUGGACAAAACUACCACCAUAUCGGAACUCUUUUGCCUCAAGUGGACCCCAAUAUCGUCAAAGAACUGAAAAUAAUGCUCGACGACAACAGCAUCCUUGCAAAAACAUUCAGAAUGGCAAGAGAUAGAUUCCAAGAAGGAGACUACCAUGAUUACAUACUUCGGAUACUAGGCAAAAGGAACGGAACACACAACCUUCCAUCCGCAUCUGAAGUUGCAGCAUUGGUAGUAAGAGAUCCAACCGAAGAGAGUGAAGGACGUGACAUUGUUGUUGAGUACAAAAAUAUGGAGCCAGAAAGGAUAUCAGAGAUCCACCCGAAAUUCAUGUCCAUGCAAUAUCCGUUGUUGUUCCCAUAUGGAGAAGAUGGUUUUAAACUUGAGAUACCCUACAAGAAAACAAAAGGAGGUGGUAGAAGAAACAAGGCACAAUAUUUGCAAGAUGCCUUUGCAAUAUGCCAUUGGGCUGGAUACCCAGACCUAUUUAUAACAUUCACAUGCAAUGCAAAGUGGCCUGAGGUCCAAUACAUGCUAGGUGAAGCGGGAGGUGGCCAAAAGCCAGCCGAUCGGCCAGACAUUGUGGACAGAGUAUUUAUGAUCAAACUAAAGGAGCUAAUGAGAGACAUAAAAGAAAAGAAAUACUUUGGAGAAGCAGCUGCAAUCAUCUACACAAUAGAAUUCCAGAAGAGAGGACUCCCGCAUGCGCACAUACUAAUAUUUUUGAAGGACAAAAACAAAUGCACCAAGCAUUUCCCAAAAAGAUACAAUGCCAGCACUACCAUUGAUGAGGACGGAUUUCCAGUAUAUAAAAGGAGGGAUGACGGAAGGCAGAUCAAAAAGGGAGGGGUGAUGCUCGACAACAGAUUUGUCGUGCCAUACAACUGGAACCUUCUGGUCAAGUAUCAAGCUCACAUAAAUGUUGAGUGGUGCAAUAGGUCCAGAUCAAUCAAGUACCUAUUUAAGUAUAUCCAUAAAGAUGACGACCAUGUUACAGCCUUGCUCAAGGAAAGUGGCACGGCAAACGAAACUGACGAGAUCAAGAAAUACCUAGAGAUGAGAUACAUAUCAACAUCAGAAGCAUGCUGGAGGAUAUUUCAGUUUGAUCUUCAGUAUCGCGAUCCAGCAGUUGAGAGGCUACCUUUCCAUCUUGAAAAUGAGCAACAAGUCGUUUUUCCAGACUCCACUAAUCUUGAAAAGAUAGUAACAAGGGACGGAUCUAAAAUCACCAAGUUCACUCAGUGGAUGGAGGCAAAUAAAAUAUAUGAUCUAGGAAAAGGAUUGACUUACGCAGAAUUCCCUACAAAGUUUGUAUGGAAAAGCGAAACAAAAUGUUGGCAGACGCGAAAAAGGGACUACGCAAUUGGAAGAAUCUACUAUGCACAUCCCGCAAGUGGCGAGAGAUAUCAUAUGAGGAUGCUUCUAAACACCAAGAAAGGAUGCACAUCAUUUGAGGACAUUAGGACAGUUGAUGGAGUCAUUCACCCAACAUACAAAUCAGCAUCCCAAGCCCUCGGAUUUCUCGAUGAUGACACUGAGUGGAUUGAUUGUAUCAAUGAAGCAUCAAGUUGGGCUUUCGGAACACAACUACGUCAGUUAUUCACCACCAUAUUGUCCCAUUGCGAAGUCACAAACCCAAAGUGUUUGUCAGAUGAUCCAAUACAAAAGCAAAAGGUCGCUGAAUUUGCAGAGUGGAUACUACAGAUUGGCGAUGGCAAAACAACAUCAGAUGAAGGAGAGGAUUGGAUAAAAAUACCAAAAGACCUACUGCUAGAGAAAGGAGAAAAUCGUAAAGAACAAAUCGUCAAAAGCAUAAACCCAAGUUUGCUGCAAAAUUACCGUGAGUGGGAUUACCUAGAAGAAAGAGCAAUACCAUGUCCAAGAAAUGAUACGGUCAGGGAGAUAAAUGACCACAUAAUGAGCCAAAUACAAGGUGAAGAGGUGACAUACCUAAGCCUGGACACAGUGUGCAAGGCAAUGACAAAUGAAACAAUGAAAUCACCAAUGGAUUCCACCUACAAUAAGCUUUUCACAAUCUCCCACAUUAUAGCCAUGACCCACAACUAA
rnacentral:rRNA from 1 species